rnacentral:rRNA from 1 species
AAAAACAUCGCCUUCUGAAAAUCAAUUGAAGGUCCAGCCUGCCCAGUGAUAAACUUCAACGGCCGCGGUAUUUUAACCGUGCAAAGGUAGCACAAUCACUUGUCCUUUAAAUGGGGACUAGUAUGAAUGGCAUCACGAGGGUUGUACUGUCUCCUCCCUUUAAUCAGUGAAACUAAUCCCCCCGUGAAGAAGCGGGGAUAAGCCUAUAAGACGAGAAGACCCCAUGGAGCUUAAAACAAGUAUCAAUUGCACACCCAAAUAUCACCCAAAUAGAGCAAACCUGUUUACUAGUUUUUGGUUGGGGCGACCGCGGAGUAAAAACAAACCUCCACGACGAAUGGAAAUAACUGCCUAAUCAAAGAGCCACACCUCGCAGAAUCAAAACAUUGACCUAAAUUGAUCCAAUAAACUUGAGCAACGAACCAAGUUACCCUGGGGAUAACAGCGCAAUCCAUUUCAAGAGCCCAUAUCGACAAAUGGGUUUACGACCUCGAUGUUGGAUCAGGGUAUCCCAGUGGUGCAGCCACUACUAAAGGUUCGUUUGUUCAACGAUUAAAACCCUACGUGAUCUGA